rnacentral:rRNA from 1 species
UACGUAGGGUCCGAGCGUUGUCCGGAAUUACUGGGCGUAAAGAGCUCGUAGGUGGUUUGUCGCGUUGUUCGUGAAAACUCGGGGCUCAACUCCGAGCUUGCAGUCGAUACGGGCAGGCUAGAGUUCGGCAGGGGAGACUGGAAUUCCUGGUGUAGCGGUGAAAUGCGCAGAUAUCAGGAGGAACACCGAUGGCGAAGGCAGGUCUCUGGGCAUUAACUGACGCUGAGGAGCGAAAGCAUGGGGAGCGAACAGG